UGUCUUCUUUAUCCAACCAAAUGGCUGUGAUGAUAAAGAAUGUGUCAGAUACAAUACAUUAUGAGUUUGAAAAGAAGCUUAGUAAAAUAGGGUCACUAGCAGCUUAAGGCGCCUAAUCUCUUCAUAACACCAAACCAAGAGCAAAUUGUGUCUGUAAGUGAUGAAACUAAUUCAUGAAGAAACAAGCUCAUGUAUCAGUCUGAAAUAAGUGCAACUCUAUCCUCCUUAAGAUGUUAAUGGCGUGAAGCAAGGAUCAAUAGAAGCUAGGCAUUUUCUGUAGAAGACUAAAUCAGAAUGUAAGUGAAACCAAUAGUACAAGGAAAACGAAAUGAAGAAGAUUUGAUCACCAAUUCAAGAAUAGACUAGCACCAAAACGAAUCAAGCCUUUCAUGAAACGUAAUUAUAUGCAACGAUGCUCAUAAAAGUAACCACCUUUAUAGAUAAUCUAAUGAGAUCAAAGCAAGUAAAUUUGAUAAAUGGUGAUCAAUUAUGAAAUUUUCAUCUUUCAACCAGAUAAAGCCAACAAUUUCACCAGAAACAUAACAUUAGCUAGAGAUAGAGAUCCCAGAUCAGGACCAUAAUCCGUGAAAACCAAUCUAUGGCCGGAAAACAAGAGAUCGAGAUAGCUUACUUGGACGACCCAGAUGGCACCGGC